rnacentral:rRNA from 1 species
UACAGAGGUCCCGAGCGUUAGGCGGAAUCACUGGGCUUAAAGCGUGUGUAGGCGGGUCCCCAAGUGCCUUUUGAAAUCCCACCGCUCAACGGUGGAACUGCUGGGCAUACUGCGGGUCUUGAGCCAGCUAGGGGCGACCGGAACCGACGGUGGAGCGGUGAAAUGCGUAGAUAUCAGGAAGAACACCCGUGGCGAAGGCGGCUCUCUGGGACGGUACUGACGCUGAGACGCGAAAGCGUGGGGAGCGAACAGG